rnacentral:rRNA from 1 species
UACGUAGGUGGCAAGCGUUGUCCGGAUUUACUGGGCGUAAAGAGCGCGCAGGCGGUCGUUCAAGUCGCGUGUGAAAGCCCCCGGCUCAACUGGGGAGGGUCACGCGAUACUGAUCGACUCGAAGGCAGGAGAGGGUAGUGGAAUUCCGGGUGUAGUGGUGAAAUGCGUAGAUAUCCGGAGGAACACCAGUGGCGAAGGCGACUUCCUGGCCUGUUCUUGACGCUGAGGCGCGAAAGCUGGGGGAG